ensembl:lncRNA
UAAAUAUAAAACAGUACAGUAACAGUAAGUGAAAUCCUAACAAGCUAAAGUGCAGAGCAGUUGUGAGUUAGCUGUUUUUUAUCUUGAUGGAUCAGGUUAAAUUCUGAUCUGAUCAAUGCAUUUCAUCUUUUUACAGGUUAAUUAUAUUUAAUAAACUAAACAAAUAUUAUUAACCGUAAAUAUCUUGUGUUAUCGAUGAAGUCCUUCUCUCCUUACCUUGGACGUCUUGAAUCCUGUGAUCUGAAGCUCUUCAACAAGUAAACUCCUCAGUCUGAAGUUCAUCAGAACUCAUUUACAAAGUUAAGAAUAAAACAACGGUCUCAGACCACGUGCUGGUUCUUUCUCUUUCUCUGUGAAGGUGCGUUCACACGUGUGAAGGACCUGAAACACCAUUCAUCUGAAUAUGAGUACACGCUUACAGAAAUGAAAUAGACAGACUUUCAAAACUCCCACUCUACUCUUCUACCGACCAAUCAUAAAGCUUCACGUCGUUGGGGUUCAAGCGUAUUGGCUCAUCGCCCUAUUGGGGCGUGACUCAUAUAGUGUAAAUGGAGAAGCUGUUGAUAGUAAUCAGUUUACUGCUAAACCGUCUGUUUCCUCAAAGGGGCCCCGACAGAAAAGGUGUGGGAACUACUGCAGUGGUGCAGAUGCAGAGAACCUGGUUGGUUUACAGAAGUCAGAAGCAGGGGUGGAAGUAACGAACUACAAAUACUCACGUCGCUGUAAUUGAGUAGAUUUUUUGGGCACUUGUACUUUUAUGAGUAUUUUCUUGAAGUGGGUAAUAUUACUCAUACUUGAGUACCAUUUAGUCCUUCUCUCUUUACCUUGGACGUCUUGAGUCCUGUGAUCUGAAGCUCUUCAACAAGUAAAACUCCUCAGUCUGUGAAGUUCAUCAGAACUCAUUUACAAAGUUAAGAAUAAAAUAACGGUCUCAAGGACCACAUGCUGGUUCUUUCUCUUUCUCUGUGAAGGUGCGUUCACACGUGUCAUCUGAAUGACUGACUGACAUUUCAAAACUCCCACUCUACUGUUCUACCGACCAAUCAUAAAGCUUCACGUCGUUGGGGUUCAAGCGUGUUGGCUCAUCGCCCUAUUGGGGCGUGACUCAUAUAGUGUAAAUGGAGAAGCUGUUGAUAGUAAUCAGUUUACUGCUAAACCGUCUGUUUCCUCAAACAGACGGUUUGGCAAUAAAAAAAGGUGUGGGAACUACUGCAGUGGUGCAGAUGCAGAGAACCUGGUUGGUUUACAG